GACGAACGCUGGCGGCGUGCUUAACACAUGCAAGUCGAACGGAAAGGCCCUGCUUUUGUGGGGUGCUCGAGCGGCGAACGGGUGAGUAACACGUGAGUAACCUGCCCUUGACUUUGGGAUAACUUCAGGAGACUGGGGCUAAUACCGGAUAGGAGCUCCUGCUGCAUGGUGGGGGUUGGAAAGUUUCGGCGGUUGGGGAUGGACUCGCGGGUUAUCAGCUUGUUGGUGGGGUAGUGGCUUACCAAGGCUUUGACGGGUAGCCGGCCUGAGAGGGUGACCGGCCACAUUGGGACUGAGGUACGGCCCAGACUCCUACGGGAGGCAGCAGUGGGGAAUAUUGCACAAUGGGCGGAAGCCUGAUGCAGCAACGCCGCGUGCGGGAUGACGGCCUUCGGGUUGUAAACCGCUUUCGCCUGUGACGAAGCGUGAGUGACGGUAAUGGGUAAAGAAGCACCGGCUAACUACGUG
rnacentral:rRNA from 1 species